GCCGGAGUAGCUCAGCCUGGUUAGAGCGUUCGACUCAUAAUCGAAAGGCCGAGGGUUCAGAUCCCUCCUCCGGCA
rnacentral:tRNA from 2 species